AGCCGGGGAGGCAGCGGUUCCCUGUACCAGCAUCGCUAUAGCUGGGGCCAUAUCCCUGCCGAGGGUCUUGCGGGCGGAAGCCGCCCUGGGUAAGUGGCGUUGAGAUCCGGGUCUUGCGCAACGGAUGCCUGCGAACCGUGUCAGGUCAGGAAUGAAGCAGCACUAAGCGGGAUGUUUCGUGUGCCGCAAGGGCGCCUGGGUUGAGUUAACUGCGCAGGUAACGUUCCGCCUUGCGGAUUCGAAGCGGGAU
rnacentral:SRP_RNA from 1 species